CUGGGGAAACCCAAGCUAAUACCGCAUACGUCCUACGGGAGAAAGGGGGCUUCGGCUCCCGCUAUUGGAUGAGCCUAUGUCGGAUUAGCUAGUUGGUGAGGUAAAGGCUCACCAAGGCAACGAUCCGUAGCUGGUCUGAGAGGAUGAUCAGCCACAUCGGGACUGAGACACGGCCCGAACUCCUACGGGAGGCAGCAGUGGGGAAUAUUGGACAAUGGGGGCAACCCUGAUCCAGCCAUGCCGCGUGUGUGAAGAAGGCCCUCGGGUUGUAAAGCACUUUCAGCGAGGAAGAACGCCUAGCGGUUAAUACCCGUUAGGAAAGACAUCACUCGCAGAAGAAGCACCGGCUAACUCCGUGCCAGCAGCCGCGGUAAUACGGAGGGUGCAAGCGUUAAUCGGAAUUACUGGGCGUAAAGCGCGCGUAGGUGGCUUGAUAAGCCGGUUGUGAAAGCCCCGGGCUCAACCUGGGAACGGCAUCCGGAACUGUCAGGCUAGAGUGCAGGAGAGGAAGGUAGAAUUCCCGGUGUAGCGGUGAAAUGCGUAGAGAUCGGGAGGAAUACCAGUGGCGAAGGCGGCCUUCUGGACUGACACUGACACUGAGGUGCGAAAGCGUGGUAGCAAACAGGAUUAGAUACCCUGGUAGUCCACGCCGUAAACGAUGUCGACCAGCCGUUGGGUGCCUAGAGCACUUUGUGGCGAAGUUAACGCGAUAAGUCGACCGCCUGGGGAGUACGGCCGCAAGGUUAAAACUCAAAUGAAUUGACGGGGGCCCGCACAAGCGGUGGAGCAUGUGGUUUAAUUCGAUGCAACGCGAAGAACCUUACCUACCCUUGACAUCUACAGAAGCCGGAAGAGAUUCUGGUGUGCCUUCGGGAACUGUAAGACAGGUGCUGCAUGGCUGUCGUCAGCUCGUGUUGUGAAAUGUUGGGUUAAGUCCCGUAACGAGCGCAACCCUUGUCCUUAUUUGCCAGCGAGUAAUGUCGGGAACUCUAAGGAGACUGCCGGUGACAAACCGGAGGAAGGUGGGGACGACGUCAAGUCAUCAUGGCCCUUACGGGUAGGGCUACACACGUGCUACAAUGGCCGGUACAAAGGGCUGCGAGCUCGCGAGAGUCAGCGAAUCCCUUAAAGCCGGUCUCAGUCCGGAUCGGAGUCUGCAACUCGACUCCGUGAAGUCGGAAUCGCUAGUAAUCGUGAAUCAGAAUGUCACGGUGAAUACGUUCCCGGGCCUUGUACACACCGCCCGUCACACCA
rnacentral:rRNA from 1 species